UACGUAGGGUGCAAGCGUUGUCCGGAAUUAUUGGGCGUAAAGAGCUCGUAGGCGGCUUGUCACGUCGGAUGUGAAAGCCCGGGGCUUAACCCCGGGUCUGCAUUCGAUACGGGCAGGCUAGAGUUCGGUAGGGGAGAUCGGAAUUCCUGGUGUAGCGGUGAAAUGACGCAGAUAUCAGGAGGAACACCGGUGGCGAAGGCGGAUCUCUGGGCCGAUACUGACGCUGAGGAGCGAAAGCGUGGGGAGCGAACAGG
rnacentral:rRNA from 1 species